rnacentral:rRNA from 1 species
GACGAACGCUGGCGGCGUGCUUAACACAUGCAAGUCGAACGGAAAGGCCCUGCUUUUGUGGGGUGCUCGAGUGGCGAACGGGUGAGUAACACGUGAGUAACCUGCCCUUGACUUUGGGAUAACUUCAGGAAACUGGGGCUAAUACCGGAUAGGAGCUCCUGCUGCAUGGUGGGGGUUGGAAAGUUUCGGCGGUUGGGGAUGGACUCGCGGCUUAUCAGCUUGUUGGUGGGGUAGUGGCUUACCAAGGCUUUGACGGGUAGCCGGCCUGAGAGGGUGACCGGCCACAUUGGGACUGAGAUACGGCCCAGACUCCUACGGGAGGCAGCAGUGGGGAAUAUUGCACAGUGGGCGGAAGCCUGAUGCAGCGGCGCCGCGUGCGGGAUGACGGCCUUCGGGUUGUAAACCGCUUUCGCCUGUGACGAAGCGUGAGUGACGGUAAUGGGUAAAGAAGCACCGGCUAACUACGUG